rnacentral:rRNA from 1 species
UACGGGGGGGGCAAGCGUUGUUCGGAAUUACUGGGCGUAAAGGGCUCGUAGGCGGCCCAGUAAGUCAUGCGUGAAAUCCCUCGGCUUAACCGGGGAACUGCGUCUGAUACUGGAUGGCUUGAGUUCGGGAGAGGGAUGCGGAAUUCCAGGUGUAGCGGUGAAAUGCGUAGAUAUCUGGAGGAACACCGGUGGCGAAGGCGGCAUCCUGGACCGAUACUGACGCUGAGGAGCGAAAGCCAGGGGAGCAAACGGG